GACAGACUCACCUCCAACCCCCUGGCCUCCCACGACUACAUCCUGAAGAUUGUGCCCACGGUUUAUGAGGACAAGAGUGGCAAGCAGCGGUACUCCUACCAGUACACGGUGGCCAACAAGGAAUACGUCGCCUACAGCCACACGGGCCGCAUCAUCCCUGCAAUCUGGUUCCGCUACGACCUCAGCCCCAUCACGGUCAAGUACACAGAGAGACGGCAGCCGCUGUACAGAUUCAUCACCACGAUCUGUGCCAUCAUUGGCGGGACCUUCACCGUCGCCGGCAUCCUGGACUCAUGCAUCUUCACAGCCUCUGAGGCCUGGAAGAAGAUCCAGCUGGGCAAGAUGCAUUGACGCCACACCCAGCCUAAUGGCCGAGGACCCUGGGCAUCGCCAGCCUUGCCUCCAGUGCCCUGUCUCCUUUGGCCCUCAAUCUGGUCCCAAAUCUGGCUGUGUCCCAAAGGGUGUGUGGGAAGUGGGGGGAAAGUAGAGGAUGGCUCGAUGUUUUGCAGCUACCUCUUUUCCCCGUGUUUCUUUUUAGACAAAUUACACUGCCUGAAGUUGCAGUUCCCCUUUCCCUGGGGAGCCCCAAGAACAGAGUCAGGCAAGGGGUGGGGAGUCCAGGGAUCUUGGGGACCCCUCCUAGGAGAGCUGCAGUCUCUUCCCUCAGGGGAACAUCCCAGAAUGCAUAUCGAUCAGCUCUCAGCCAGGCUUCGACAAUCUCGCAGCCCCCACUAGGUGGACACAUUAAUGAUUUGGUUUCUCCCCUGGGCAGCCAACCUGCCCCAGAGGCACCAGACCUGGGCUUUCAGCUUUGGGACCAGGCUGCCCAAAGGUACUCCUUUAUACACCCGGCACCUUCCACGAAAGAUGGUACUUCCCAAGCAAGCCCCUAUGAUUUGUCACUAUAGAUGGAACCCUGACUUCUGCCCCAUCCCUUCCUGCCCAACCUAGAACCCAGGCCUCAAGUCUUUACCCCACCCCUUUCUUGUUCUUCCAAGAAGCAGAUGCCCAGUUGCUCAGCAGCAGCGGUAGAGACUUGAAUCUGCCCACCAGUCACAAGGCGGGUCACAGAUUCCUCUUCCUCUCUUCUCC
rnacentral:lncRNA from 1 species